AGGGUAGUAGCGCAGCUGGUAGCGUACUUGGUUUGGGACCAAGGGGUCGUCGGUUCGAACCCGGCCUACCCUA
rnacentral:tRNA from 1 species